rnacentral:rRNA from 1 species
GACGAACGCUGGCGGCGUGCUUAACACAUGCAAGUCGAGCGGAGCGGCGAACGGGUGAGUAACGCGUUAGUAACUCCCCCCCUCUCUGGGAUAACAGUUGGAAACGGCUGCCAAUACCGGAUAGUGGGGGCUGACUCGGGUCCAAUCAGCAUGUGUGUGGUGUAGUGGCCUACCAAGGCGACGACGGGUAGCCGGCCUGAGAGGGCGACCGGCCACAUUGGGCUGAGAUACGGCCCAAACUCAUACGGGAGGCAGCAGUGGGGAAUAUUGGACAAUGGGGGAAACCCUGAUGCAGCAACGCCGCGUGGGGGAGGGCUGCCUUCGGGUUGUAAACCGCUUUCAGCCAUGACGCGGUAGUGGCAGAAGAAGCACCGGCUAACUACGUGCCAGCAGCCGCGGUAAUAC